rnacentral:rRNA from 1 species
CAAGUCGAGGGAAUCCCAGCAAUGGGGGAACCGGCGUAAGGGGCAGUAAGGCAUGGGUACCUACCCUGAAGUUCGGGAUAGCCAUCAGAGAUGGUGGGUAAUACCGGAUGAUGUCGAGAGACCAAAGAUUUAUCGCUUUGGGAGGGGCCCAUGUGAUAUUAGCUAGUUGGUGAGGUAACGGCUCACCAAGGCAAAGAUGUCUAGCGGGUAUGAGAGUACGACCCGCGCCACUCGCACUGAGACACUGGCGAGACACCUACGGGUGGCUGCAGUCGAGGAUCUUCGUCAAUGGGCGAAAGCCUGAACGAGCGAUGCCGCGUGCGCGAUGAAGGCCUUCGGGUUGUAAAGCGCUUUAGUGGGGGAGAAAAGGGUAAAACUUUGAUCUAUCCCAAAAAUAAGCUCGGGCUAAGUUCGUGCCAGCAGCCGCGGUAAGACGAACCGAGCGAACGUUGUUCGGAAUCACUGGGCUUAAAGGGCGCGUAGGCGGGCUGUCAAGUCUGGGGUGAAAUCCCACGGCUCAACCGUGGAACUGCCUUAGAUACAGACGGCCUCGAGGGAGAUAGGGGCGAGCGGAACUGUGAGUGGAGCGGUGAAAUGCGUUGAUAUUCACAGGAACUCCGGUGGCGAACGCUGCUCGCU